rnacentral:rRNA from 1 species
UUGAAAGGGAAACGAUUGAAGUCAGUCGUACCGACGAGAAAUCAGCUCUUCGAGUGCGAACUUGUGGGCGUGCGUGAGUCUUUAACGGGCCUCGCUGUUUGCAAUUUUGUGCUUUUUGGGUGUACUUUUUCGUAUGGUAGGCCAACGUCAGUUUCGAUCACCGUAAAAUGAUCGGAGGAAUGUAGCUUCGAUCUCGUAUUGAAGUGUUAUAGCCUCUGGUAGAUGCGGUGACCGAAACUGAGGAUUGCAACGAAUACCCUUUUGGGCUAUCCGUCUGGCCUCUGAAAGUUGCUUAGGUGCCGAAAGCGUGCUUACGGCUAUUUAAGUUGACGGUCAACAGGUUAGAGCGUGGUUACAUUCGUUAAGGAUGUUGACGUA